rnacentral:sRNA from 1 species
UUGCUCGACGGAUGGUACGAUGGGCGAUGGAUGGAUGGAUGAUGGAGUGGACGGAUGGUGAGAUGGACAGAGACAACAGACGGAGGACGGAGGACUGAGGACGGAUGUGGUGGUUCUGAUGGACGCUGGCGAACUAGCAGGUGUGGAGCGAGCCUGAGACUUGGAGGCUGAGGACGGAGGACAGGGGAAAUCGACCGGACCAGUGGACGCUGGUGCAGGGAACGACCAUAAAAACGCCAUCAAUGGCAAAUUGCACAGAGCAGUAGUAUAUUUAUCCAAUGCUAGCGGAGGGAUAGAGUAGAGCAAAACUGAAAAUAACAUCAAAAACGAGCUGCAAGACAGAAGGACGACGAAGAAGAUGCAGAAGACUGACAAUCGCCGGUGGAGGACAGACAGCCCGAGACAGGAGGCAGAGUACAGUACGUAACGAUGGAUG